AUGCUGAGCCAAGUUAGAGUCUGCCCUUUGGCUCAUUUCAUUGGCUGGCUCACUGCUACAAGGUACACAUUUUUUAAUGAAAGAUUGUUUACACCCAUGUACGUAUAUACACACACACAGACAAAUUUCCAACAGAUUUUAGGCUGGCUUGUCACUGGUUUAAUGGCUCUUCUUCCAAAAGAUAGUUGAUGCUUUACUGCUUGCCAACAGUGAAACAAUCAGUAAAGCUACAUCUUGAUGCUGCAGCCCAAAGGAGGAGCUAGAUCUGCAGUGCUGACUGAUAGACGGAAGUUUAGUUGAUUUCCUUGGGACUUGGAACACUGAACAAACACAAGAUCAUCAUCAAGGACUGAAGGCCAACCACACGACUUGUCCAGGAGAAAAAAAGAAUGGGUUCGAGGCACUUUUUGACACUUGAACUGAAUUAUGGGCAUCACAAAGAACUAUCCAGUGGAGAAACACAGCUCUGCAUAGAUAUUAUGGCAUGCAGAGUGGUUGAAGAGACAAAGAAAGAGUUGACGUUAGCUUUUCCCACCUUCCAGUACACCCAACACCUUGCUCAACAGUAGUCUUAGGAGAGAUAGGGAGGCCCAGGUGGGCUGUGUUGUUCUCUGCCUAAGGACAGUAGGCUAGUGCUGAGAUGGGCCUUCUGGUCUAUCUGAUCCCUGGUUGGGAAGGGGACAAGUGCUAUUGUGUGUUGCUGAGAUAACACCUGACUAUGGUUGUAGUGGGACCUGCAGCAAUUUUAGCCUACCGAUGUGUCAUUUUUGAGGAAAGUAAUGGAAAAUCCAGGCAAGCUGUUACUUUCUUUGGCUGAGGGACUGCUUCUCAAGAUCCUUCUUCACGCUCAAAGGCAAAUAUGUGAUAAUAUCAUUAUCAUCAUGGUUUUGGGUUUUGUGAAGGUUUAUAUCCAUCAUUCCCUGUAUUGGGAAAUCUCAUCCCUGACUUAGACUGGCAGUAUUUGUUUUCUACUGUCCCUGAGGGCCAGAAUGAUAUUUAGCUGUGAAAACUGCCAAGGCACCUUCAGUACGGAGAACAAAAGCCUUGCGUUCACCUCCUGAGAAACUGCAAGCACAAAGAACUUUUUUUUUUUUUUUUUUAAUCGUCUUCUUUUUUGUAGGAAAUAUGUGACAAGAAUCUAAUGUCAGUAUUUGCUGACACUUGCCUGGUGCCAUCUCAUAAUUCCUCUUUAUUAAAACAGGAAAUACGCUGUGUUGGAUAUGUUUUACACACUCACACACACAAAUGCACACAGGCUUCUCUCUCUCAAUAAAGACAGUACACAGAUUCA
rnacentral:lncRNA from 1 species